GAGUUUGAUCCUGGCUCAGGAUGAACGCUGGCGGCGUGCUUGAGAUAUGCAAGUCAAACGGUCCCGACUUUGUCGGGAUAGUGGCAGACGGCUGAGUAAAAUACAGGGACCUACCCUGGGGAGGCGAAUAACUGUUUGAAAAAACGGGUAAUACGCCGUACGCCCCGACGUCAUGUCGGGGGAAAGGGAGUAACUUCUCGCCCUAGGACGGACCUGUAUCCUAUCAGGUAGUUGGUAAGAUAAUAGCCUACCAAGCCUAUGACGGGUAGCUGACCUUAGAGGGUGGUCAGCCAGAGGGGUACUGAGACACGGACCCCACUCCUACGGGAGGCAGCAAUCAGGAAUAGUUGGCAAUGGGCGAAAGCCUGACCACGCGACGCCGCGUGCGGGAAUAAGUUCAAAUCGAACGUAAACCGCUGUGGCAGGGGAUAAAAUCUCGAUUUAAUCGGGACUGAUAGUACCCUGCUAGAAAGAGGCCGCUAACUACGUGCCAGAAGCGUCGGUAAGACGUAGGCCUCGAGCGUUAUCCGGUGUCACUGGGUGUAAAAGGUCGCGUAGGCGGUUUGGUAAGUUAUUCUUUAAAUAUCCUUGCUUAACAAGGAAAAAGGGGAUAAUACUACUAGACUAGAAAUUCUUCAAAGGAGACUGGAAUUUAGGGAGGAGGGGUGAAAUCUGUUGAUACCCUAAAGAACACCAGUGGCGAAGGCGAGUCUCUAGAAGAACUUUGACGCUGAGGCACUAAAGCUAGGGUAGCAAACCGGAUUAGAGACCCGGGUAGUCCUAGCCCUAAACCAUGCUUGCUAGCUGCAUUCGUCUGAAUCUUUUAGGUCUGGAGGAUGCGGAACUUUAAAUCCAAAAUUCCGAAUCUGAAAAAUUCAGACGGGUGUGGCGUAGGUAACCCGUUAAGCAAGCUACCUGGGGAGUACGACCGCAAGGUUAAAACUCAAAGGAAUUGGCGGGGAGGCACACAACCAGUGGAACAUGUGGUUUAAUUCGAGACAAACCGAAGAACCUCACCAGGGUUUGACAUGCCGAUAAAAUCCCAAUGAAAGUUGGGACCUCCGCAAGGAUAUCGGCACAGGUGCUGCAUGGCUGUCGUCAGCUCGUUCCGUGAGGAGUACCCUUAAGUGGGACAACGAGCGCAACCCCUGUUCCGAGUUAAAUAUGUCUCGGAAGACAGUCCUGACUCAGUCGGGAAGGAAGGAAGGGCAGACGUCAAGUCAGCAUGGCCCUUAUACCCUGGGCUACACACAUGUUACAAUGGAUAUGACAAAGGGUUGCUAGCCGGCAACGGUAUGCUAAUCCCUUAAACGUAUCCUUAGUGGGGAUUGGGGUCUGCAACUCGACCCCAUGAACGUGGAAUUGGUAGUAAUCGCGGAUCAGCUAUGCCGCGGUGAAUACGUUCUUGCCUCUUGCACAC
rnacentral:rRNA from 1 species